GACAGAGGGUGCAAACGUUGUUCGGAAUUACUGGGCGUAAAGCGCGUGUAGGCGGCUAAGUAAGUCGGGCGUGAAAUCCCACGGCUCAACCGUGGAAGUGCACUCGAAACUGCAUAGCUAGAGUCCUGGAGAGGAAGGUGGAAUGCUUGGUGUAGAGGUGAAAUUCGUAGAUAUCAAGCGGAACACCGGUGGCGAAGGCGGGUCUCUGGGCCGAUACUGACGCUGAGGAGCGAAAGCAUGGGUAGCGAACAGG
rnacentral:rRNA from 1 species